CUUGACGCUGGCGGCAGGCCUAACACAUGCAAGUCGAACGAGUGGCGGCCGGUUGAGACAUGUACGAGAAACUGCCUGAUGGAAGGGGAUUACUACUCGAAACGGUAGCUAAUACCGCAUAGUAUCGGAUGUGCCAUGAUCGGAUUAGCUAGUAGGUGGGGUAAAGGCUCACCUAGGCGACGAUCCCUAGAUGGUCUGCUAGGAUGAACAGUCACACGAGAACUGAGACACUGUCCAGACUCCUCCGGGAGGCAGCAGUGGGGAAUAUUGCACAAUGGGCGCAAGCCUGAUGCAGCCAUGCCGCGUGUAUGAUGAAGGCCUUCGGGUUGUAAAGUACUUUCAGCGGGGAGGCGGUACCCGCAGAAGAAGCACCGGCUGACUCCGAGCCAGCAGCCGCGGUAAUAC
rnacentral:rRNA from 1 species